rnacentral:ncRNA from 1 species
GGAAAAGCGAUGAUAAAGAAGAGUAAUUAUAGUGAGAUUUAAAGAGAGGAGGUUUUAAGCUGAAAGACUUCUAUUUAAGCUAUAGUGAAAGUGCACUUUUGAGCAAAUGAUUUGAAAUUAAGUAGGAUCAUUACGGUUCGCCGUUUAUAGGGGAUUGAGUGAGAUUUUUUAAUCUAAUUUGAGUGGAACCACGGAGUACAUAGCUUCGUCUCAUUA